UACGUAGGGUGCAAGCGUUGUCCGGAAUUAUUGGGCGUAAAGAGCUCGUAGGCGGUCUGUUACGUCGGCUGUGAAAACCUGGGGCUCAACCCCGGGCCUGCAGCCGAUACGGGCAGACUAGAAUUCGGUAGGGGAGACUGGAAUUCCUGGUGUAGCGGUGGAAUGCGCAGAUAUCAGGAGGAACACCGGUGGCGCAGGCGGGUCUCUGGGCCGACAUUGACGCUGAGGAGCGAAAGCGUGGGGAGCGAACAGG
rnacentral:rRNA from 1 species